UUUUAAUUUUUUUUUUUUUUUUUUUUAUCAAUAAUAUUGUGAUAACAGUGUGCUUAAGAAAGAUAAAAAAAUUCCAUCUAAAAC
rnacentral:ribozyme from 12 species